rnacentral:rRNA from 1 species
UACGUAGGGUGCAAGCGUUAAUCGGAAUUACUGGGCGUAAAGCGCGCGUAGGUGGCUUCGUAAGUCCGUUGUGAAAGUCAAAGGCUCAACCUUUGAAAGCCGAUGGAUACUGUGAAGCUAGAGUACGGAAGAGGCGAGUGGAAUUCCUGGUGUAGCGGUGGAAUGCGCAGAUAUCAGGAGGAACACCAAUAGCGAAGGCAGCUCGCUGGGACGUUACUGACACUGAGGCGCGAAAGCGUGGGGAGCGAACAGG